rnacentral:rRNA from 1 species
CCUACGGGAGGCAGCAGUAGGGAAUUUUCGGCAAUGGGGGAAACCCUGACCGAGCAAUGCCGCGUGAACGAUGAAGGUCUUCGGAUUGUAAAGUUCUGUGAUUGGGGAAGAAUGGUAUUCUUAGGGAAUGAGGAGUACAUGACGGUACCUGAUUAGAAAGCCCCGGCUAACUAUGUGCCAGCAGCCGCGGUAAU